rnacentral:rRNA from 1 species
ACGUAGGGUGCAAGCGUUGUCCGGAUUUAUUGGGCGUAAAGAGCUCGUAGGCGGUUAGUCACGUCGGAUGUGAAAAUCCAAGGCUUAACCUUGGACCUGCAUUCGAUACGGGCUGACUAGAGUGUUGUAGGGGAGACUGGAACUCCUGGUGUAGCGGUGAAAUGCGCAGAUAUCAGGAAGAACACCGAUGGCGAAGGCAGGUCUCUGGGCAACUACUGACGCUGAGGAGCGAAAGCGUGGGGAGCAAACAGGAUUAGAUACCCUGGUAGUCCACGCCGUAAACGGUGGGCGCUAGGUGUGGGGAACAUUCCACGUUCUCCGUGCCGCAGCUAACGCAUUAAGCGCCCCGCCUGGGGAGUACGGCCGCAAGGCUA